GCUCCGGCCCGGCCGGGGGCCGUUUCCAUUCCUGGAGACCCCGGGGUGAAAGAAUGAGAGAAGCCGGCCAGAGGGCGCCGCGCCGCUCCCUCGCAGGCCCCUGCCCCCCUCCUCGCCGGUCCCCUUCUCCCUCGCUGUGCACCGCGCUGGCUGCGGGGCCAUCGCGCGCUGGCGCGGCCGGAAUUGCCUCCCCUUCGUCCGGCCCCAGCCCAGUCGUCCCGCUGGGCGCCGGCUGGCCGAACUCCGGCCCGGCUCGGAAAGGAGCCCACUCCCGGAUGGCCUGACAUGCUGAAGACCCAGAGAAGAUUGCAGUUCGAGUCCAAAGGCACUCUGCUUACAGAAUUCCUUCUUCAUCAGAGGAGAAGCCACUGAAGAAGUUGUUGAUGCAUUUUCCCAGUCCUUCUCCCCGUUUCGACUGCCGCAACGACUUGGAGACAAGAAGCCUUCUACAGACUCGGAUCUAAAUGCAAAUGGACUAGAAACAGUGAAAAUGAAGUCAUUCUGGACUCUACCUUGAAGUGAAGUCAGAACUACACGAACUGUCCAAGAUGUUUGUUUUGGCUGCAUUCAAGACAGGAAUUGAAGGCAUAUCGUUCACAGGUUCAGCUACAGUAAAAGAAAAAAGCCUCAAAAUUAUGUAUUUAGCAUGUUUCUACCAUUAUUUCAAGAACUUCCAUUUUCCUAUUGUAGCAUAUUGAGAAUUUUCUUCUUAAAUAA